UUCAUUUGUCUCAAGUGAAUUUGUAAUUGUUUUUUGCAGCAUUUUUAUGACGACUGCUUUAAAAUCCUUGUCAGAUAAUUCCAACACCUGAUUUAUCUUGGUAUUGUCACCAGUUGAUUGUCUUUCCCCAUUUGAGUUGUAGUUUUCCUGGUUCUUGGUGUGCUGAGGAGUUUUCGAUUGUAUCCUGGAUAUUUUGGUUAUUAGGUUUGGAGAGUCUCAAUCCUGUUUAAGUCUUCUAUUUUCGCAGGCAGUCACCCUUUUUAGGUUUAACACACAGGUUCUGGCCUACUUUUGCAGGUUGUGGUUCCAGUCUUUAGUUUUCAGGAUCCUUGCAUAGUGGUGCUGGCUGUGCAAGUGGGCCUGGGGCUCUGCAUGGCACUGGGUGGAGGCGGGGAGACACGGGGCUCCAUGACGCUGCCUCCCCUGGGUAUCAGCCCUCUUGGGCCUCCCCUCUCCUGUCCUUUGGCAAGAGAGCAGCUUUUCCUGUUGUCCAUCUGUUUAGUCGAUGCCUGGUGGCAGCUUGAGUUGCAGGCCUCUGUGCCCAGCCCCGGGGAACGUGGGAGAUGAAAAGACAACCCAUGGGUGCACAGCAUGUUGAUCUCAAGUCUUGAGGCCCCUAGCCUGUCUGCCAUCUCCUUUCUAGCUUUCAGGAUUCUUUUACGGAGGUCGGAUUAUGUCCAAGGAGGAGGAGCUGCGACAUCCUGCCCUGGAACUGGAAGUCCAGUUCUGGGAGGUUUUGCCAUCACAAUAUUUUCUCUAUAAAACCAGGAAACACGAUGGUUCCUAGAUGACAGCCUGGAAGAUGGCAGGCCACACAAAUGGCACUGGGGCUUUAGGUUGCUGGAAGGUUCUGAUUAUUGUGAGAGGUGGCAAGAAGGCAGGCAGAGCAGAGCUGGGAGAGUGACCCAGAGCAUCCCUGGGUCUAUCCCAGCGGCUAUCAAGAGCUCGCCGCCGUUUGAGCCACGUGCAGUAGGGUCUCACAGACCUCCCUGUGUGAUGGGGCACAAAGGGCCAGGGGCCAUUGUGACACAGCAUGGAAAGUGCAAAGUCUCUGGGAUGUGGAGACAGAGGGAUGAGGAAAAGGAAGAGGUAGUGAGGAGACGAGGGCAGUCUGACUCGGGCCUCUGAGCGCCAGCAUCCUUCGAAGGCUUCCUCUUGGACCUGGGGGCUGCCAUUCUUCUCUGGAGGCUCUCAGGAUCCCCCUCCCCACCCUUAGGGCUCAGAGACCCCUGCAAGCAAGAAGGGAAGGCUCUGGAGAAGGGAAAGCCGAGCCUGGCCUGGGGCCAGGAGGAGCAUCUGAAGGGGUGGGGUCCUCAGGUGGUGCAAGAGGAGGCCACUUUUCUCAGCCAUUCCAGUCCUAGGGAUAAAAAUACCACUUUGCAAAAUCAGCUGCUAAUCUUGUUGCUAGGUAGAGUUCAACCCCAGAAUUGCUGUUUUGUUCUAAGUUUGGCUGAACAGCUUUUCCUGGGAAUCAGACUCUCAGCUUCAGGCCCGGGUCUUAGAGGAGGCACAGGAGCUUUGCUUGUCGCCUUCCACAGGGACAGCCUGGUUAUUAGCCCCCUGAUGGACAGGCAGGGAGCAUGUCACGCCCGAACUGUGGAGGGGCCAGGGACUGGCUGGGUGGGCUGGGGACAGGGGGACACCACGGUGAGCUGUGUGUCCUGGGCAGAGGUCCUAAGGCUGAAGGGACAAGGCAGGCAGGUGGCCUGGACACCAUUGAGGGAAUCUUCUAGGGGAAAGUACUCCCACUCCAUCAGUCACGGAUGCCUCUGUGUAGGGCCUGACCCCCAAGAUGGCAGGGUGGAGGAUGAAGUUGGACCCCUACCUCACACCGUACACAAAAAUUAACUCAAAAUGGGUCAAGAAUCUAAAUACAAGAGCUAAAAGCAUAAAACUCCUUCAAAGAAAACAAAUUUUCACUACUUUGGAUUUGAUAUUGGUUUCUUAGAUAUGUCCCCAAAAGACCAGUGACGAAAGAAAAAAAUAGAUAAAAUGGACUUUAUUACAGUUAAAAACUUUUGUGUAUCAAAAGACAUUAUCAAGAAAGUGAAAAUGCAAUGUAAAGAGUGGAAGAAAAUAAGAGUUUAGUGUCCAGAAUGUAGAAAGAACUCCUACAAUUCAACAAAAAGGCAAACCAACUAAAAUAUGAGAAAGGACUUCAAUACAUAUUUCUUCAAAGUAGGAAUACAAACGGCCAACAAGCACAUGGAAAGAGCCUAGUAUCAUUAGUCAAUAGGGAAAUGCAAAAGCCACAAGGAGAUACACUUCACACAUGCUAGGAUGGCUAUAAUUUUUUUAAAAAUAGGAAAAUAAUAAAUGUUGGCAAGGAUGUGGAGAAAUUGGAACUCUUAUAUGUUGCUGGUGGGACUGUAAAAUGGUGCAGCUGCUGUGGAAAAUAAUUUGGUGGUUCCUCAAAAAGUUAAAUGUAGAAUUACUGUAUGACCCAGCAAUUCCACUCCUAGAUAUAUACUGAAAUGAAUUGAGAACAGGGACUCAAACAGAUACUUGUACAUCAUUGUUCCUAGCAGCCUUAUUCAUAAUAGCCAAAAGGUAGAAGCAACUGAAAUGUCCAUCACCUGAUGAAUGGAUAAACAAAAUGUGGUCUAUCCACACAAUGGAAUGUCAGUCAGCCAUAAAAACGAAUGGAUUUCUGAUACAUGCUACAACAUGAAUGAACCUGGAAAACGUUAUGCUAAGGGAAAUCAGCCAGAUGCAAAAAAGGAGAAAUAGUAAUGACUUCACUUAUCUGAAAUAUCCAGGAUAGGCAUACUCAUAGAGACAGAAGGUAGAUUAGAGGUUACCAGGGGCUGAAGGGUGGGGGAAUGGAGACUUAUUGAUUAAUGGCUACAGAAUUUCUGUUUGGGGUGAUAAAAACUUUUGGAAAUAGUAGUGAUGGUUG
rnacentral:lncRNA from 1 species